rnacentral:rRNA from 1 species
CCUACGGGUGGCAGCAGUGAGGAAUAUUGGUCAAUGGGCGCAAGCCUGAACCAGCCAAGUCGCGUGAGGGAUGACGGUCCUAUGGAUUGUAAACCUCUUUUGUCGGGGAGCAAGGCCCACCACGUGUGGCGGGAAGGAGAGUACCCGAAGAAAAAGCAUCGGCUAACUCCGUGCCAGCAGCCGCGGUAAUACGGAGGAUGCGAGCGUUAUCCGGAUUUAUUGGGUUUAAAGGGUGCGUAGGCGGAAGGUUAAGUCAGCGGUCAAAUGUCGGUGCUCAACACCGGCCUGCCGUUGAAACUGGUCUUCUUGAGUGAGCGAGAAGUAUGCGGAAUGUGUGGUGUAGCGGUGAAAUGCAUAGAUAUCACACAGAACACCGAUUGCGAAGGCAUCUCACGAAUCCGCGAUUGACGCUGAUGCACGAAAGCGUGGGUAUCAAACAGGAUUAGAUACCCCAGUAGUC